GGCCCCCAGAUCGUUUACCGUGAAAAAAUUAGAGUGUUCAAAGCAGGCAGACCAUUUCUGCCACCGAAUACAUUAGCAUGGGAUAAUGGAAUAGGACCCUGUCCUCCUAUUUUGCGUGUUGGUUUUCGAGGACCGGGUAAUGAUUAAUAGGGAUAGUUGGGGGCAUUAAUAUUUAAUUGUCAGAGGUGAAAUUCUUGGAUUUAUGAAAGAUUGACUUCUGCGAAAGCAUCUGCCAAGGAUGUUUUCAUUAAUCAAGAACGAAAGUUAGGGGAUCGAAGACGAUCAGAUACCGUCGUAGUCUUAACCAUAAACGAUGCCGACCAGCGAUUAGGAGACGUUGAAUACAAAACACCACCGUUGGGUCGUGGCGGGCCGUGCCCCGCGGUCCGUCGUGCGCGGCGACGCGUGCGGCGGCCACGGGGACCGCGGUCCGUAUCAGCCACCCGA
rnacentral:rRNA from 1 species